UACGUAGGGUGCAAGCGUUGUCCGGAAUUAUUGGGCGUAAAGAGCUCGUAGGCGGUUUGUCGCGUCGAAUGUGAAAACCCGGGGCUCAACCUCGGGUCUGCAGUCGAUACGAGCAAACUAGAGUGUUGCAGGGGAGACUGGAAUUCCUGGUGUAGCGGUGAAAUGCGUAGAUAUCGAGAGGAACACCAGUGGCGAAGGCGAGUCCCUGGACAGAUCCUGACGCUGAGGCACGAAAGCUAGGGGAGCAAACAGG
rnacentral:rRNA from 1 species